rnacentral:misc_RNA from 1 species
AACGCAUCUUGCACCCCCUUUCAAGGGGGUAUGCCUGUUUGAGUGUCAUUUUCUUAUUCUCAAUUCAGGGUAGAAGGGUUUCUCUCUCUGCCUUGUGUUGGAUGAUGAAGGCUGCUGGCCAUUCCAGCUCCUUUGAAAUGUAUUAGCAGGAAUUGGCAAAAAACCAGCUUACAGUUUGAUAGGCAUCUAGCUGUUUGCGGUGGAGCCCAAGUUCUGCUUUCUUGUCUCUGAUGAGACUGCUCAGCUGUCUGAGUAAUGUUUGCUGUAACUUGACCUCAAAUCAGGUAGGACUACCCGCUGAACUUAA